UACGUAGGGGGCAAGCGUUAUUCGGAAUUACUGGGCGUAAAGCGUGCGCAGGCGGUUUGUUAAGUCCGGUGUGAAAGCCCCGAGCUCAACUUGGGAAUUGCAGUGGAUACUGGCAGGCUGGAGUACGGUAGAGGAAGAUGGAAUUCCCGGUGUAGCAGUGAAAUGCGUAGAUAUCGAGAGGAACACCAGUGGCGAAGGCGAGUCCCUGGACAACAACUGACACUGAGGCACGAAAGCUAGGGGAGCAAACAGG
rnacentral:rRNA from 1 species